GUACCCUCAAGCUCUGCUUGGUGUUGGGCGUCUUGUCUUUUUCUUUCGUGAUUAGACUCGCCUCAAAGUAAUUGGCGGCCAGUGUUUUUGGUAGUAAGCGCAGCACAUUUUGCGUCUUAGUCUAUAAACAGUGGCAUCCACAAAGCCUCUUUCUCAC
rnacentral:misc_RNA from 1 species